rnacentral:sRNA from 1 species
GACAGAUGACUUGGUUGUGACUCCGAUGUCAUCCAUUUCUGCGGUUUCUUAUCUAAAUAGGUCACAAGUUCCUUUCUCAGACUUGGAGGAAAGGGUCAUUAGCGUUGGUGUGAAGGAGGGAUUGGCCAUACUAAAAGCUUCCUUAACCUCAACAUCUGCUUUGACACAAGUCUCCUCCAACAAUUCACAAAAAACAUUAAGGUGGAGAUUUGAUCAAUUAAAAUUUUUAGGUUAUGAUGUUAUUUUGAAAUGCCUACUUUUUAACAUUGGUCUGACACUCUCUGGUUCAGUCAAAUUUUCUGUUUGUUGUGUGAACCAGUAUUAUAAUGAAUCUACUUUUGG